rnacentral:lncRNA from 1 species
CUACACCUCUGGGUAACAAAAGACAGAUUUAACAUCCCAUCUCAUGAACAAGUUACUCAACUAAUUUUAUGGAGGUACAGGUGGCUAUUCCGAACUAGUUGUCAGGUUCAAGAAGAAAUGGGUUGUACGCGAAAACCAAAAUAUGUCAAUGGUUCUUGGAUUUUUCGGUGAGUUGGAGUUUGUAAUUACAUUACGAGGAUGUCACGGCUUUAAAAUGUAUUCUUAUUAAAUAAAUAAGAAACAGGAACCCGGAGAAAUUAUAAUGUGAUAGAUUCAUUUAUGUUAAUGCAUUUUCAAUAUAGUUCCAUUUGAUGAUAGAUUAGAUUGUGAAUUUAUAUUCAAGAAAUAGAAUUUGUAUGAUUAUUCUCAACUCAUAGAAAAUGGGUGGAUGGUCUAAUUGACAGUUGCGGACGCCCUACAUAUAAUAUGAUCAGGCUUUCAUAUCAAAAUUGAUAGAUUUCUUUCUAAUAGGUGUUAUAAAGGGUCAAAAAAUGUUGCGCAAAAUCCAGGUUUCAUUUGUAAAGAGAUGAAGAGAAUAUAUACAUGUUGCUUUAAGGAGUUAAAGAACAGAAAUGUUAUUAUGUAACAGAAAUGGGUAGUAUCGGACUUUGUUGUUAUAUAUAUAAAUCUGGAAGGUGUUGAGUUUCCCUCAAAUUUACUCAAUUCCUUAGUAUGUAAAGGAACUGUACGUGGAUGAUGCCAUUGGAGCUGACCUUCAAUAUAAUCGGCUCUAACCCAUCCUAUCAAUUAUUAUGGGAGCUUAUGGUCAGAAGAACCUUCAAUAUAAUCGGCUCUAACCCAUCCUAUCAAUUAUUAUGGGAGCUUAUGGUCAGAAGAACUUGUAAAGUUUUGGCUUUCAGUAUAUUGUACUUAUAAAAUAUCAUCUAACAAUCUGGUAUAUUUCCACAAUCAUUUUAAUUUUUAUCGUGGUGGAACUGUUUCUUUGCACAGUGGCACUAGACUAGACUGUCCAUGUUAAGAAUAUAAUUUUUUCCAGACUCAGUGCACCAACUUGUUCGAAAAAUCCAGUCUCAGAGUCUCUGCUAUUAGAACAAAAUUCAACCUUGCUAGCAGGCAUGCUAACAGGUAGUAACACUCCAAACAUUAAGUUUGAUGACUACAAGAGGGACUCAGAGAAUGGUCUAAAGUGCUGCUCUGGUUACUUUUAUCCUUGGCAUUGAACUGCAAGAGAUACGCGUUACCCCACAAACUAGUGCUUGUUAUUAAACUAGCAAUCAGACAUUACUCUUUAGACUUUUACCAAGAAGCUCAUAUCCUCAAUGGUCACAGAGACACAGACUAACUAAUUCAUCAACCGAGUAGCUAAUUCAUCAAUGGACUACUUAGCUGAGGUCUGCAACAAAAACCAACGAAACUUAGCUGAGCUCUACAUUGCACAUAGCCAUGGUUUGCCAAGUACUGUAGAUUUCUAGUUUCAAAGAUCAUUUUCUCACCGGGUUGCUAUAUGUUGGCUGCCGGUAUGCAACAACUAAAUAUAAAAUUACAAAAUUCAAUAUUACAGAAAUCAAUCAGAUCUGUCAAAUGCAGUGGAAAAAUCAAAAGUACUAAAUAUAAAUAACCAAUUCAAUAUAGAACUUACCAAGGAUAGUAAAAUAAUUCUAUCAGAUACAGGGGAGAAAAAAUUGUCUGAAUACAUUUGUACUUAAAAGCAAUCAAUAUAACAAAACCUUGGCCCUCCAAUCUUUAACUAAAUACAUCCAGUAAAAGGAAGUUCAAACUAAGCAAUGGCAAUGACAAGAAGUCUGCAACGGAUUCAACCACAACAUAUCACUAUGCCUACACCUCUGGGUAACAAAAGACAGAUUUAACAUCCCAUCUCAUGAUGCGGCAACCGUGCAUUUAGUAAAAGGAAAUAAUUCCAUCCCUGCCAACAGAAUAGACACCAACACAUGUAAAACAAGGAAUCCUAUACAAGAGAAGAAAUCCUUGAGAUCGCCUUGCUAUCCUUA